GCGAUUCGGGGCAGACCAGGAUGGGUUUGCUUUUUAACCGGGAAACAACGAAAGCGACAUCAUCUUUGACUAGCCUAAAUACGGAGCUGACGAGGAGGAGGCUUAACGUUAACAGGGAAAACACCUACAGUCCUGCAUCUUUGACUCGUGACGCAUUUCAAAAAGCAGUGCAGAAUGCAGACACGGAGUUUGCUUUUAACAGUGAAAACACCGAGUAGCUAGACCAACUCCACAAACUGCGGACCAACAAUGCACGUGAAAUUUUCACUUUAUUUCCUUAUUUGGAGGACCAAUCUUCUUAGAAUGGGAGCAAUUCUAUGAUGCACCAAGUGGCUAAGGGUACCAGGCUUGGUGUUUAAAGACUGUACAGACUAGAACCUGGUGAUGGAAAGAUAACAGAUAAGUUAACAUAUGAGAGAAUCAUGGGCACAAACAAAAAUAAUCAUGGCUUGGUAUUACUAGAUUUUCUUUGUUUCAUAACACAUUUUGAAUUUGUCUAGUCAAAUUACUUACCAAAAGUGUGUGUGUGUGUGUGUGUAUAUAUAUAUAAACUUAAAAUAAGAUUUCUAAUCAAUGGUUUUCUUGAUUUGACAAGUAGAAAUCUCUGCCCAUCACCUGCCCCCAACAUUACAAAGCCACAAGAAGAGAACACCGAUCCUUCCAGAAUCCGGCGGCUGACUAUUUAGUGAGAUUUCUUAAGGUACCCAGUACUACAACGAUUUUUCACUAAAGUUGGAUCUGCACAGCCUUUUCUGCUCUGUGAAACAACUGCACUGAACUUUACUGUUAGCGACUGGAUACAGCUGAUCCACUCAUAUCCUGCUACUGUUUUUCAUCUGCUGAAUGUUUUUGACUCAAGCACUGCUGUACUGUUGCAAAGUCAAAGGUACUGAAUUAACUUCACUGACACAGGACUCACAUUCACUGAUAUGUUCAGGACUUAAGUAUUAAACACCAUUUGAUCACAUCAUAUAAUUCUGAUGACAGAAAUCCAUAUAUUGUGCAUUCA